rnacentral:rRNA from 1 species
GCAGGUGGCAAGCGUUGUCCGGAAUUAUUGGGCGUAAAGCGCGCGCAGGUGGUUCUUUAAGUCUGAUGUGAAAGCCCCCGGCUCAACCGGGGAGGGUCAUUGGAAACUGGGGAACUUGAGUGCAGGAGAGGAAAGUGGAAUUCCACGUGUAGCGGUGAAAUGCGUAGAUAUGUGGAGGAACACCAGUGGCGAAGGCGACUUUCUGGCCUGUAACUGACACUGAGGCGCGAAAGCGUGGGGAGCAAACAGGGAUUAGAUACCCUGGUAGUCCACGCCGUAAACGAUGAGUGCUAAGUGUUGGGGGGGUUUCCGCCCCCUCAGUGCUGCAGCUAACGCAUUAAGCACUCCGCCUGGGAGUACGGUCGCAAGACUG